UUUAUCCAGAGGCUGAAGGAACCUUCUUGCCUGCAACUGGAAUAUUGUUGCCAGUUUCAACAAAGAAUCUAUGUUGCCUAAGGAAACCAGUGUUUCCUCUUCCAGCAUUCAGUCUUGGCUCCUUUGCCUGAGAGGGCUGUUCUUAGAAAUGUCCUCCAGAGACUUUUCUAUUAAACUAGGAUGCAAAAUGCAUUGCGGUGUAAUUCUGCUGCCGAGGUCCUAUGAAAGGAAUGAGUUGGGACAGAUGCAGCAAGGUAUUAGGACACAUUUUCCCCAUUCUUCAUCCUGCACAACCCAGAAGUGAACUUAUUUUCAUCAAGAUGACCCAAUUCUUAGCAUGUUUUUCUACCCACUUUUACCCAUAAUACUUUCAAAUCACUGUCUUUAAUUCAAACUGUGCAGAACAACAAGAAAAUGAAAAGAAGAUAAACUGGUUGAUCAAAAGCAAAAUGGCAUUUAAUUAAAACUAAGAUGGCAAAUUCAUGGAAAAUAAAAGUAUUUUACUAAAAA
rnacentral:lncRNA from 1 species